UACGUAGGAGGCAAGCGUUGUCCGGAAUCACUGGGCGUAAAGCGCGUGUAGGCGGUGCGUGUAGUCUGCUGUGAAAUCCCCCGGCUCAACCGGGGAACGGGCGGGGAUACGACCAGCCUGGAGGGACGGAGGGGGACCUGGAACUUCCGGUGGAGCGGUGAAAUGCGUUGAGAUCGGAAGGAACGCCCGUGGCGAAAGCGAGGUCCUGGACGUCUACUGACGCUGAGACACGAAAGCCAGGGGAGCGAACGGG
rnacentral:rRNA from 1 species